rnacentral:misc_RNA from 1 species
CACCACUCAAGCCUGGCUUGGUAUUGGGCGUCGCGGUGUUCCGCGCGCCUUAAAGUCUUCCGGCUGAGCUGUCCGUCUCUAAGCGUUGUGGAUUUUUCAAUUCGCUUCGGAGUGCGGGUGGCCGCGGCCGUUAAAUCUUUAUUCAAAGG